rnacentral:rRNA from 1 species
UACGUAGGGGGCAAGCGUUGUCCGGAUUUAUUGGGCGUAAAGAGCGUGUAGGCGGCCACACAGGUCAGCUGUGAAAACUCGAGGCUCAACCUCGAGACGUCGGUUGAAACCGUAUGGCUAGAGUCCGGAAGAGGAGAGUGGAAUUCCCGGUGUAGCGGUGAAAUGCGCAGAUAUCGGGAAGAACACCAGUGGCGAAGGCGGCUCUCUGGGACGGUACUGACGCUGAGACGCGAAAGCGUGGGGAGCGAACAGG